GAUGAACGCUGGCGGCGUGCCUAAUACAUGCAAGUCGAGCGAACAGACGAGGAGCUUGCUCCUCUGACGUUAGCGGCGGACGGGUGAGUAACACGUGGAUAACCUACCUAUAAGACUGGGAUCACUUCGGGAAACCGGAGCUAAUACCGGAUAAUAUAUUGAACCGCAUGGUUCAAUAGUGAAAGACGGUUUUGCUGUCACUUAUAGAUGGAUCCGCGCCGCAUUAGCUAGUUGGUAAGGUAACGGCUUACCAAGGCGACGAUGCGUAGCCGACCUGAGAGGGUGAUCGGCCACACUGGAACUGAGACACGGUCCAGAAUCCUACGGGAGGCAGCAGUAGGGAAUCUUCCGCAAUGGGCGAAAGCCUGACGUAGCAACGCCGCGUGAGUGAUGAAGGUCUUCGGAUCGUAAAACUCUGUUAUUAGGGAAGAACAAAUGUGUAAGUACCUAUGAACGUCUUGACGGUACCUAAUCAGAAAGCCACGGCUAGCUACGUG
rnacentral:rRNA from 1 species